rnacentral:rRNA from 1 species
AUGGGGUUGCAGCGCCCACAUACGACACCGAGACCGACGCCGCUGCUACCCAGUACGACUACAGUGUUGACAAUCCCUCCUUCUCGGCUGAGUUUCCAGAUGCCGGAGCCCAGGAGCCAGACGCCACCGUCGACGACGACUCCUACUACACCGCAGGUGCCUACUACUACGUGUAGCCCGCUGACGACGACCAGGAGUAGUUUAGGAGGAUCCCAGGCAGGAGGCCUGCGCCUCUUUCGAUCUGUAUCCCAGUUUGUGCUAGCCUUCUUAAGGCAAACUUGUUUAACUUAUGUCUGUACUUAG